CCCGCUGAACUUAAGCAUAUCAAUAAGCGGAGGAAAAGAAACUAACAAGGAUUCCCCUAGUAACUGCGAGUGAAGCGGGAAAAGCUCAAAUUUAAAAUCUGGUGGUCUUUGGCCAUCCGAGUUGUAAUUUAGAGAAGCGUCUUCCGCGCUGGACCGUGCACAAGUCUCCUGGAAUGGAGCGUCACAGAGGGUGAGAAUCCCGUCUUUGGCAUGGACACACCAGGGCUUUUGUGAUGCGCUCUCGAAGAGUCGAGUUGUUUGGGAAUGCAGCUCAAAAUGGGUGGUGAACUCCAUCUAAAGCUAAAUAUUGGCGAGAGACCGAUAGCGAACAAGUACCGUGAGGGAAAGAUGAAAAGCACUUUGGAAAGAGAGUGAAACAGUACGUGAAAUUGUUGAAAGGGAAACGCUUGAAGUCAGUCGCGUCGACCGAGACUCAGCCUCGCCUCGGCUUGGUGUACUUCUCGGCUGACGGGUCAGCAUCAAUUUCGCCUCUUGGAUAAUGGCGGGGGAAAUGUGACACCUUUACGGUGUGUUAUAGUCUCUCGUCGCAUGCAAGGGUCGGGAUUGAGGAACUCAGCACGCGCCUUCGGGUGUCGGGGCUUUUGCCCACGAUACGUGCUUAGGAUGUUGGCGUAAUGGCUUUAAACGACCCGUCUUGAAACACAG
rnacentral:rRNA from 1 species